AUUGAACGCUGGCGGCAGGCCUAAGACAUGCAAGUCGAACGGUAACGACACUAGCUUGCUAGUGGUCGACGAGUGGCGGACGGGUGAGUAACGCGUAGGAAUCUACCUAGUAGUGGGGGAUAGCCAAGGGAAACUUUGGGUAAUACCGCAUACGAUCUAAGGAUGAAAGGGGGCCUCUCUUUGAAGCUCUCGCUAUUAGAUGAGCCUGCGUAAGAUUAGCUUGUUGGUGGGGUAAUGGCCCACCAAGGCGACGAUCUUUAGCUGGUCUGAGAGGAUGAUCAGUCACACUGGAACUGAGACACGGUCCAGACUCCUACGGGAGGCAGCAGUCGGGAAUAUUGGACAAUGGGGGAAACCCUGAUCCAGCCAUGCCGCGUGUGUGAAGAAGGCCCUAGGGUUGUAAAGCACUUUUAGUAGUGAGGAAGGCUCGGUAGUUAAUACCUACCGGGAUUGACGUUAGCUACAGAAAAAGCACCGGCUAAUUUCGUGCCAGCAGCCGCGGUAAUACGAAAGGUGCAAGCGUUAAUCGGAAUUACUGGGCGUAAAGCGCGCGUAGGCGGCUUGGUAAGUUGGAUGUGAAAGCCCCGGGCUCAACCUGGGAACUGCAUCCAAAACUGCCUAGCUAGAGUAUGGUAGAGGAUGGCGGAAUUUCCUGUGUAGCGGUGAAAUGCGUAGAUAUAGGAAGGAACAUCAGUGGCGAAGGCGGCCAUCUGGACCAAUACUGACGCUGAGUCG
rnacentral:rRNA from 1 species